CCUACGGGAGGCAGCAGUGAGGAAUAUUGGUCAAUGGCCGGAAGGCUGAACCAGCGAUGCCGCGUGAAGGUCAGUGCCCUAUGGGCGUUAAACUUCUUUUGUGCGGGAGCAAUAUUGGUCACGUGUGGCCAGACGAGAGUACCGUACGCAUAAGCAUCGGCUAACUCCGGGCCAGCAGCCGCGGUAAUACGGGGGAUGCAAGCGUUAUCCGGAUUUAUGGGGUUUAAGGGGUGCGUAGGCUGUGAGGUAAGGCAGCGGGGAAAUGCCCCGGCUCAAAGGGGUGAAGUGCCAUUGAUACUGCCUGGCUGGAAGGCGGAUGCCGUGGGAGGAAUGUGUGGUGUAGCGGUGAAAUGCAUAGAUAUCACACAGAACACCGAUUGCGAAGGCAUCUCACGAAUCCGCGAUUGACGCUGAUGCACGAAAGCGUGGGUAUCAAACAGGAUUAGAUACCCGAGUAGUC
rnacentral:rRNA from 1 species